rnacentral:rRNA from 1 species
GACGAACGCUGGCGGCGUGCCUAAUACAUGCAAGUCGAGCGGACCAAGAAGAGCUUGCUCUUUGAGGUUAGCGGCGGACGGGUGAGUAACACGUGGGCAACCUGCCUGUAAGCUUGGGAUAACUCCGGGAAACCGGUGCUAAUACCGAAUACAACAAAGGACCGCAUGGCCCCUUGUGAAAAGACCUUGUGUCACUUACAGAUGGGCCUGCGGCGCAUUAGCUUGUUGGUGGGGUAACGGCCUACCAAGGCGACGAUGCGUAGCCGACCUGAGAGGGUGAUCGGCCACACUGGGACUGAGACACGGCCCAGACUCCUACGGGAGGCAGCAGUAGGGAAUCUUCCACAAUGGACGAAAGUCUGAUGGAGCAACGCCGCGUGAGUGAAGAAGGUUUUCGGAUCGUAAAACUCUGUUGUAAGGGAAGAACACGUACGAGAGUAACUGCUCGUACCUUGACGGUACCUUAUUAGAAAGCCACGGCUAACUACGUGCCAGCCGCCGCAGUAAAAC